CCAUCUUUAUCGCAAGUUCUUAGUAGAGGUUUUAAACAAAAGUAGGCAUUUAAUUAAAUCAAAAUAAAUGAAAAUUAAAGUAACCGAUCCUUAAUACAGAGUUUUGACAACCGACUAUAGAGAGAUUUCUUAAUACACGUGUCACCAGGCUGUUAUUUAGGAACUUUUUUAUUUUCUCUUUUUUCUUUCUUUUCUCUUCUUUCUCUUCUUUCUCUCCUCUUCUCUCGUGUUCGUCGACUCAAAGAAAAACGACAGAGAUGCCCGCUUGAUCGCCGGCGUUCUGUUUCUCUCCGGCCGCCGAGUCUUUCACCUUUUUUUACUAAUUGAAACAUAGGCUCAGUCUCGUGGGUACAGUAGCUUUCGAUCUGGCUUUAACCGCCGCUGCAGCCUUCGCCGCCGAUGAUCAUCUUCGUGAAAACGUCCCCGUCAUGGUGGUCGAGACUGUUUUCCCUGGAGGAUCCGACCCGAAGGCUACUGUCUCAACCCGAUUGGCUUGGUCUUGUUUUCUAAGCAGGUAACAUGACACAAGACGAGGCAUGAAGUUGGUUGCUGUUUCUAAAAAAACACGAGGCAUGAAGUUGGUAGAAAGUUACUUGGGAGUGGAAGGAUCACGGACUUGUGUCUUGUGGUGAUUGUGUAAUGUGUUUUAAGAAACCUUAUCUUUGUUCUAUCUACUUCCUCUUAAGUGCUAUCAACGCUCUCGAGAGUUAAUUGUUAUUACCGUGUGUUGUGCAGAUCAUUACAAUCAUCCAAGCAGCAGCUGGUGCUGGCCGUACAAUGCUGAUAAGUGAUAGUGGAAACGUUUACUCGUGUGGGAAAGAUUCGUUCGGUGAAGCUGAAUACGGAGGGCAAGGGUCUAAUGUUCCUGGUCUUGUUGUCUAGUUCGUAUGUCAGGAUCACUCACUCUAUCUUCAAAGAACGUCAAGAAUGGCUCGGGAAAGGUGUGUGUGUGUGUUGGAGUGUCACGAGAUAUGUGUGUCUGUUGUAGUUGUUGUCUUGUGGCACAAACAGUUUAUAAAUCACAAGAGAAGUGUUGUUGUUGUUGUCUUGUGUCGCGGGUGAUUUAUAAAUCACAAGAGAAGUUGUAGUUGUUCUCUUGUGUCACAGACACUUUAUAAAUCACAAACACACUUGAUUCUCUUUAUAAAUCACAAUCAAUUCUUCUCCUUCUCUUCACAUUCUUCUCUCCAUUAUUUUGCUCACAUUCUUCUCUCAAAUAUGAUGGGUGUUCAAAUUACAAUUCUUAAUAGACAAAUGCAUCACCAACUCAAAACUGAUUUGGUUGAACAUUUAUGAAGUAAAUUUGUAUGUGAUGAAAACAACAACUGAGUUCGAGAUGUUUAUUUCAAAUUAUUUUCGUUUAUUGUACUAAUUUUUAUUUUUAUGUUUUCUUUUAAAUCUAUGUUUUAAAUGUUAUCUUUUAAUAUGUUUUAUUUAAUAAAUAAAUUUUAUCUUAAAUUUUUUUUUUUUAAGAAUCUCUAAUUAAGAAACUCCCAUUGGACCACUCAAAAUAAAAGUUUCUUAACUAGAGUUCUUAAUCCCACUAAAGUACAUUUAUAUAACUAAAUUAUCAUUAAGAAACCCAUUUAAGAGUCAUGGGAUAAUCAUGCUCUUAGUAAGCCCAAGUCGAAUAUAGUGUUAGCAUAUCCAAUUAUCCAUUCGCCUCCAUAACUUAACUUUUGACUUUUGAGGGUAAACGUAACAGUCUUUAUUAUGGGCAAAUGUUGUAUGCAUGCCCACUUGGAUCAUGUCUUUCUCCUUUUCCCAUUUUUGGUCAAAUUAUGUAAAAGUUGGAGCAUACAUAUAUAUACACGAACCAAAAAUAAAAGCAUGAAACAUGUUGAUUAUAUUGAGUGGUUUCAAAAUUGCACUGAAAAGUUUUAAAGAUGCGUUUCACAUAGAAGGCAUCCUAGUUUUAUCGUAGAAGUUGCAAUGAGCACACUUAUAAGGUGACAACUAGACUGGUUCAACAGCUACAAUAAUUGAAGAUUUCUGUCGACAAGAGGUACUGAAAAUGACUAGGGAAAGCGACGUAAGUCCAAUCAAAAUAUUAGAUAAGGGUCCGUCUUCUUAAGUUGAAUUUUCUUGUCCUCUGAUCACUAUAUUCGUCUGCAUUCGACGUGUACCGUCAAUUUAUCAUACCACAGGAGCUGCAAUAAUUAUUAGUCCGCACAAGCAGCCAAUACAACGUUAAUGUAAUUAAUUCCUUUUUACUUAUAACUACAUCAACGCCUGAGCCAAAAAGUUGAUAAAAGGCAUAAUCCACAUAUUGUAACCUAAUUAAUAUAAAUAAAUAGUAUGUCAAAGUCCUGAGAAGUGCCACUAAGUAGAUUGGUUAAGCAACAAGCCAACAACAUUAGUGAAAUUUAAACAUAAGGUUUUUCACUGUUUUUUAAGUAAAAGUCCUAACAGAAUCAAUGAGUAUAUUAUUAUAAUUUACUCCGUCCGCCCCUACUGUAUAUAUACAUAAUUUUUGGAUAAUUAGUUGGGUUUAUUAAUCAAUCACUAAUCUUGUGAGGUACGUUGGUCUUAUAUUGCCGCCGACCGACCGACCAGCUUCUCAUGGUGGCUAACCAAUCUCUAUACACAGUUUGGUCCCAGUUCUCUUGUCAUGCAUGCUUGUAUAAAAGAGUCAACUUUUUGGAAUCUUCCCUAUAUCAUUCGAGCUCCACAUAUUAUACAGCGAAAAUUC